GGAAUAUUGCACAAUGGGGGAAACCCUGAUGCAGCGACGCCGCGUGAAGGAUGAAGUAUUUCGGUAUGUAAACUUCUAUCAGCAAGGAAGAAAAUGACGGUACUUGACUAAGAAGCCCCGGCUAAAUACGUGCCAGCAGCCGCGGUAAUACGUAUGGGGCAAGCGUUAUCCGGAUUUACUGGGUGUAAAGGGAGCGUAGGCGGUACGGCAAGUCUGGAGUGAAAUGCCGGGGCUUAACCCCGGAACUGCUUUGGAAACUGUGCAGCUAGAGUGCAGGAGAGGUAAGUGGAAUUCCUAGUGUAGCGGUGAAAUGCGUAGAUAUUAGGAGGAACACCAGUGGCGAAGGCGGCUUACUGGACUGUAACUGACGUUGAGGCUCGAAAGCGUGGGGAGCAAACAG
rnacentral:rRNA from 1 species